GCCCCCAAAAACACCAAGAGUCAGCCGAAGUGGCAGAAAACAGCACCACCUUCCCCACCUCAUCCAGCGCCUCAGAUUCAAGCAAAUCCGGCCGAUGCACCCAAGCAUAUCACCAAUCCAGUCGAUCAAGGCUCGUCAUCGGCCGUCACUCCUGAGCAGACAAUCGUUACUCCCCCUCAAGGUAAAGUAUCAAUCACAAAGUUAUUACCGAUAAACCUUUAUACAAAUAUUGCCAUCACCCUUAGUAUUUUCAGUUGAAGACAUUCCAUCGGCUAAUACUAGGAGUGUUACAAUGAUUAGGAG
rnacentral:lncRNA from 1 species